UUCACACAAAGAUGCAUAGAAUCAAGCAUCAGGAGGAAGCGAGUCAUUGACGCCAGUCUGCUAAAGGGGUAAGUCUGUCCAGCAGCGGUAGCCGGGAGAGGACAGGGAGUGGCCCAUGAUGGCGUCGCCCGGGGUAGAACAGGGAGUGGGCCAUGAUGGAGUCGCCCGGGGAAGGCCGUGCUCACUGGCUGACCCGCAGCAGUUCUUCACUGGCAAGCUUUAUGUUCUUGUGUACCAGCUAAAGCUGCCAGCUGAAGAACUGUUGUGGUUGGCUCUUUCCCUGCACACCCUCCCCUCCCACUCCAACCCCCCCACCACCACCACCAGUGCCCCCGGUGCCCCACUCUGCUGCAGAGAGCUGGAGGAGUGAGAGGCUCCAGGCCUUGGGGGAAAUGGAGCUGCAGCUGAAGAGUAGGGCUGCUCUCUGCUCGCUGAGCCUCGAUCAGACCUGACAUCAGACACAACCCAUCCAUCUCUCCCACCCACCCCUCUCUCUCUCUCUCUCUCUCUCUCUCUCUCUCUCUCUCUCUCUCUCUCUCUCCUCUACCCACCCUGCCCUCCUCACUCACGCUGGCCUGGCCAUCUCUCUAACUGGCUGAGCAUUUUUGCUCGGGCAUAAACAAAGGCAACUGGGCAGGGCCCGUGCUGACUCAGCCACAUUCCACACCCUGGUCACGUCCUCCCACCCUGCCCUUAUUUGGGCGCGGAGUAGGGCAGGGGGCUGCAUGAUGCUUUUACAAUGCAAACAGGAACCGGCAGCCUCCAUACAUCUCUGUCUCCUUCCCUCUCUCUCUGUCGCUCGCUCGCUCGCUUGCUCGCUCUCUCUCUCGCUCCCUCCCUCUCUGUCUCUCUCUCUCUCUCUCUCUAGCUCUCUCUGUCCCUCCCCCUCUCUGCUCUCCUUUCGCCUCGUCUCUCUUCUCUGGCUCAUGGAGGAAGAGACGAGGAUUAGGCGACUCCUUCACUAGCUCUCUUCCUCUUCCUCCCCCCUCUGUCCCCCUGGGCCUCAGACAGUGACUGUGACAUGUGUUUCUGUUUAUUAGUUAAGUCACAGCGUUCUGCCAGAAAGUCGAUGAAAAACACUGGCUGGACAUGGAACCAAAGCCCAAAUUCUCUUUUUUGUAAUUUUCAUUGUUUUAUUUAAUUUUUUUGUUUUGUUCUCCUGCCUUGUGGUCUGAAUGCCUUUGUUGUUUUUUUGUUGUUGUUGUGGAGUUUUGUUUGUUCAGGCUGAAUGUGCCGUGUGCCCCUGAAACAGCCGUCAUAGUUCGGCGCGCUCGCACACACACACACGCGCACACACACACGUUCAUGCCACAGAGGCCGACCGGCCCUCGAACGCGUCGUAAAUCGCACUUCAAGGGCAAAAGCCGGCGCCGAAAACAGGAUAUGAAAAAGUGGCCUGCUGGAAAGUGCCAAGCCAGAUGAACACAAAGGUAGGGAAUGUUCUCGCUAGAUACCAGAUGCCCCGCUGGAACCCAGUCAAGGAAAGAGCCAGACUUUGACUUAAAUUGACUGGACAUUGAAUGGACAAAGUAGUUCUGUAGGUGUGAGUACUAGCCACGAGUACAGUGUAGUCAAAGAAUCUUUUCUCCAAAGAAAAGAUGCACAAAUGAUCUCUUAAAAUCAUUUAGCUCGCCCUUUCUUUGUUUCUUUAUUCUUCCUUUUUUCCCUUUCUCUUCUCUCCCCCCCCCCCCCCCCCCACACACACAAACAUGUCCAUAUACUCACACACAAUGUCUACAGGAUUACACCCCUCUUAGAUCUUCUCUCUGUAAGACAUCCUACUUUGCUCAUGUAACAGAGCUGCUCUCCAAAGGCCACACUCUGACCCCUGCGUGGGGUUUUCUGCGGUCAUGCGCUAAGGUGGACUACCUGAUCGGCUCUAGGCGGCAGGCAAUCUGGCUCCAAGUACAUUAAAAGAUUGCAGAGGGUCCUCUCGGCUCAAGAAGCCUGUCUUGGCAAAGGUUCCCAUGGUGUCUGUGUGCUAGACCCCAGUUUGCAUUUAUGUUCUUUUCUAUUUUAAACUGAAUUUGUGUAUAUUGUUUAAACUGUAAGCUAUGUGUACAUGUAUGUAUUAUGUAGCUAUUAGCAUGUGAUAGUGUGUCCUUGAGUAUCCUCAUAGACUCUACCUGCUUACCUGGUGCAGUCUGCCAAGAGGCUCAAGAGGUGAGACAGAUCAACUUCUCAGAGAUCACAUCCCUGUCUCACACACACAGACACACACACACACACACACACACACACACACGCGUGCGCACAGACACACACACACACACACACACACUCACUCACUUGCCCUCUGUGAUUUGAUAACUGGGUGAAGGGUCACAUGCAGGAAGUCUUUGCUUUGUCAUCUAUAGCUGUGCCAGUGACCAUAUUUUUGAAUUAUCAGUUCAAUAAAGUGUGAGAUAAUCAA